UAACUCAUGGCAUUGCACAUCAGCAUAUAGCGACAGGACUAACAUCCUAUCCUAGUGGACAUGUUUUCCUAUGGUGCUUGACCUGAUCAACCUCUCUAUGAGCCCAACUCUCUCUCUAGAGGUCCGACCAUAUGAACCUAGGGCUCUGAUACCAAUCUGUAACAGCCCGGAAACCGAACUGCCACCGGCACUAGGAUCCAGAUCGACUUAAGGUCGCCGGGACCCGUAGUAAGCCUGCUAUCCUGUCUGUAUACCUGUGAAAUCCCAUACAUGNN
rnacentral:lncRNA from 1 species